rnacentral:rRNA from 1 species
AGUGAACGCUGGCGGUAGGCCUAACACAUGCAAGUCGAACGGCAGCACAGUAAGAGCUUGCUCUUACGGGUGGCGAGUGGCGGACGGGUGAGGAAUACAUCGGAAUCUACUUUUUCGUGGGGGAUAACGUAGGGAAACUUACGCUAAUACCGCAUACGACCUACGGGUGAAAGCAGGGGAUCUUCGGACCUUGCGCGAUUGAAUGAGCCGAUGUCGGAUUAGCUAGUUGGCGGGGUAAAGGCCCACCAAGGCGACGAUCCGUAGCUGGUCUGAGGGGGUGAUCAGCCACACUGGAACUGAGACACGGUCCAGACUCCUACGGGAGGCAGCAGUGGGGAAUAUUGGACAAUGGGCGCAAGCCUGAUCCAGCCAUACCGCGUGGGUGAAGAAGGCCUUCGGGUUGUAAAGCCCUUUUGUUGGGAAAGAAAAGCAGCAGGUUAAUACCCCGCUGUUCUGACGGUACCCAAAGAAUAAGCACCGGCUAACUUCGUG